UACGAAGGUGGCAAGCGUUGUUCGGAUUCACUGGGCGUACAGGGUGUGUAGGCGGUUUGGUAAGCCUUCUGUUAAAGCUUCGGGCCUAACCCGGAAAGCGCAGAGGGUACUGCCAGGCUAGAGGACGGGAGAGGAGCGCGGAAUUCCCGGUGUAGCGGUGAAAUGCGUAGAGAUGGGAGGAAGGCCGGUGGCGAAGGCGGCGCUCUGGAACGUUACUGACGCUGAGACACGAAAAGCGUGGGGAGCAAACAG
rnacentral:rRNA from 1 species